AUUAGGGACCUUGGUUUAAUUUCCUGUUUUACUGCCCAAGGCCGAGCCCUUCUUUUCCCCAACCGAGCCGCCAGCGCCUAGGGUUAGUUCGCUGCUGCCGCCGCCACGAGCUCGCCUCUGCUGCUGUCUCGUGACUGCCCUGCUGCUUGUGCCGCAGUGGUUGCAGUCCUCGCUGCUCGCCGGCGUCUACAUGGGGAACUGCUGCCAGGUACUCCGUAUAAUGGCAUGCAUGGGCGGGAGUAGCAUCACUAGAUCUGGACAGCACACAGCACACGUUAUCCAUCAGAGUCAUAGUUUCAUUCUUAAUGCUAGAUAAAGUCAAUGUUAAGAACCCCUUUCUUAUACCUUUGUUGGUUGGAGACGCUAGUUGUUUGAGACUUCCUAUUUAGUUUCCUUGGAAUCAACUUAAUUAUUAUGAACGAUGUGCAUGAAUUUCUAGUUGCUAGAUAUAUUUGAGAGAUAUUAUAAAUUACCUGC